rnacentral:rRNA from 1 species
GCAUAGCCGCGGUAAUACAGAGGGUGCGAGCGUUAAUCGGAUUUACUGGGCGUAAAGCGUGCGUAGGCGGCUUUUUAAGUCGGAUGUGAAAUCCCUGAGCUUAACUUAGGAAUUGCAUUCGAUACUGGGAAGCUAGAGUAUGGGAGAGGAUGGUAGAAUUCCAGGUGUAGCGGUGAAAUGCGUAGAGAUCUGGAGGAAUACCGAUGGCGAAGGCAGCCAUCUGGCCUAAUACUGACGCUGAGGUACGAAAGCAUGGGGAGCAAACAGGAUUAGAUACCCGUGUAGUCCCUGUCUCUUAUACA